GAUGAACGCUGGCGGCGUGCCUAAUACAUGCAAGUCGAGCGAACAGACGAGGAGCUUGCGCCUCUGACGUUAGCGGCGGACGGGUGAGUAACACGUGGAUAACCUACCUAUAAGACUGGGAUAACUUCGGGAAACCGGAGCUAAUACCGGAUAAUAUAUUGAACCGCAUGGAUCAAUAGUGAAAGACGGCUUUGCUGUCACUUAUAGAUGGAUCCGCGCCGCAUUAGCUAGUUGGUAAGGUAACGGCUUACCAAGGCGACGAUGCGUAGCCGACCUGAGAGGGUGAUCGGCCACACUGGAACUGAGACACGGUCCAGACUCCUACGGGAGGCAGCAGUAGGGAAUCUUCCGCAAUGGGCGAAAGCCUGACGGAGCAACGCCGCGUGAGUGAUGAAGGUCUUCGGAUCGUAAAACUCUGUUAUUAGGGAAGAACAAAUGUGUAAGUAACUAUGCACGUCUUGACGGUACCUAAUCAGAAAGCCACGGCUAACUACGUG
rnacentral:rRNA from 1 species